GGAGGUAGUGACAAUAAAUCUCAAUACGAAGCCUUUGGUUUUGUAAUUGAAUUGAGAACAAUGUACAAUCGUUAUCGAUAAACAAUUGGAGGGCAAGUCUGGUGCCAGCAGCCGCGGUAAUUCCAGCUCCAAUAGCGUAUAUUAACGUUGUUGCAGUUAAAAAGCUCGUAGUUGAAGUUUAGAUGGUUUGAAGGGGGUGUUAGUAUCAAUGGUACUAUCUGCUCUCUUUGGAUUAUCGACUUCCAGGUAAGUAUAAUGAACCUUUCGGGGUUCGUUAUACCAGACUGGUCUUUUACUGUGAGAAAAUUAGAGUGUUUAAAGCAAACUAUUGAUGUUUGAAUAGAUUAGCAUGGAAUAAUAAGAUUGGCUUUCAUAGUCGAUUUUUUGGUUUGUUUAUGAAAGCAAGAUUAAUAGGGACAGUUGGGGGUAUUCAUAUUCAAUAGCUAGAGGUGAAAUUCUAUGAUUUAUGGAAGAUGAACAAGUGCGAAAGCA
rnacentral:rRNA from 1 species